AACUUUUUUACCUAAUUGGUGGUGCACUUCUAUGUUAUAGAGGACUAGAAUUUUUUUAGACAACUUCUCGAAAGAAAAUAUGUGGAAAUUGCUCUACUGCGGUGGGCAACGCAUGUAAGCGAUGUUCCAACUGUGGACAGCUCAUUCCAAAGAGGCCCUCUUCCGUCUCAAUACCACAAUAUUCGACCACGACAAGACAGAAAAUGCUGCUGAUAAAAAGGGCUCAGACUCUUCAUCAGAACCACGGUUAUCAUCUGGUGGUAAUGUAUUAUCACCCAUCAACCACUAGAAGUCCAACCGUCUGGGAUUAUGCUGCAACUCGUGGUUUGGCGACAGAUUAUAUUAGCAGCAGUGGUGUAAUUGGAAAAUCAGCCAGAAACUUGUUUCAAACUGGGAUGAAGAAGUUAUGGCAAGAUAAAAAUAAAGGAACUGUUGUAGCAUUGACCAACGAGAAUGGUGUAGUGUGUGGUUUUGGAUAUGUCUCAGGAAUGUCGAAGGUGCAUAAUCGGCCCGUGACUCCCGGCUACCUAUCUGUCUUUUUUACUAGUGUGGUACCGGGCAAAACAGUUGCUCCACCAUUGUCUGGUCCAUUCGACGAAGAUGUCGUUAGACCUGGCGAGUUUACAUUUGGCCAAUUGACGGAAUGUUUGUUGCUGGACGAAAUGAUUUUACUCACAAUAUAUAACUACGUAAAUCUUCCGCAUUUUUUUCUUUAUGGAUUUUAUUAUCUUCGUAAAGAAACUUCCUUGUAUAUGUAUAUUAUAGUAAAUUUUCUAUUUUUGUGCCUGAUCUUCGAGUGGAAAUAUUUUUGUUUGAUAUCAUUGUAUUAUAAGAAGAACAGAUUUUAUAUUAUGUCCAAAUAAAAACUUCAAAGUCGUGAAA